UAGGGAAUCUUCCACAAUGGACGCAAGUCUGAUGGAGCAACGCCGCGUGAGUGAAGAAGGUUUUCGGAUCGUAAAGCUCUGUUGUUGGUGAAGAAGGAUAGAGGCAGUAACUGGUCUUUAUUUGACGGUAAUCAACCAGAAAGUCACGGCUAACUACGUGCCAGCAGCCGCGGUAAUACGUAGGUGGCAAGCGUUGUCCGGAUUUAUUGGGCGUAAAGCGAGCGCAGGCGGAAUGAUAAGUCUGAUGUGAAAGCACACGGCUCAACCGUGGAACUGCAUCGGAAGAUGUCAUUCUUGAGUGCAGAAGAGGAGAGUGGAAUUCCAUGUGUAGCGGUGUAAUGCGUAGAUAUAUGGAAGAACACCAGUGGCGAAGGCGGCUCUCUGGUCUGCAACUGACGCUGAGGCUCGAAAGCAUGGGUAGCGAACAGG
rnacentral:rRNA from 1 species